CGCAGCCACGGGAAUACGGAGGGUGCAAGCGUUAUCCGGAUUCACUGGGUUUAAAGGGUGCGUAGGCGGAUCUGUAAGUCAGUGGUGAAAUCUCCAGGCUUAACCUGGAAACUGCCGUUGAUACUAUAGGUCUUGAAUUUUGUGGAGGUUAGCGGAAUAUGUCAUGUAGCGGUGAAAUGCAUAGAUAUGACAUAGAACACCAAUUGCGAAGGCAGCUGGCUACACAACUAUUGACGCUGAGGCACGAAAGCGUGGGGAUCAAACAGGAUUAGAUACCCCCGUAGUCCCUGUCUCUUAUACA
rnacentral:rRNA from 1 species